GGGAUCGGGUUGCACGCCUGCAAUGAGGAAGAAAUGAAAAUCCCGGUGCUACAACUUUUGGACCGCAGUGAGGUUGCUGUCUUCAGUCCAAUAGGCGACCCGAAGUAGUCAUGUAGGCAUCCACAGGCCUUAGCGUCUCCCUCUAUCUUUCCAUUCUGUUUCUUUUAUGUAUUUUAGAGACAACUUUGUACUUAUCUUUUAAACCUCUGUUUGUAGUAUUCGUAGAUAGUCCGUGACUUUGUGACACCAAAUUUUGGGUAGUGUUAUAUAUCGGAUUCAUAUAACAAUGUUUGGUUAAACUAUUAA